GAAUAUUGGACAAUGGGCGAAAGCCUGAUCCUGCAAUGCCGCGGGAGUGAGGAAGGCCUCAGGGUUGUAAAGCUCUUUUACCAGGGAUGAAAAUGACAGUACCUGGAGAAUAAGCUCCGGCUAACUCCGUGCCAGCAGCCGCGGUAAUACGGAGGGAGCUAGCGUUGUUCGGAAAUACUGGGCGUAAAGCGCGCGUAGGCGGCGUCGUAAGUCAGGGGUGAAAUCCCGGGGCUCAACCCCGGAACUGCCCUUGAAACUGCAGCGCUAGAAUCUUGGAGAGGUCAGUGGAAAUCCGAGUGUAGAGGUGAAAUUCGUAGAUAUUCGGAAGAACACCAGUGGCGAAGGCGACUAACUGGACAAGUAUUGACGCUGAGGUGCGAAAGCGUGGGGAGCAAACA
rnacentral:rRNA from 1 species